rnacentral:piRNA from 1 species
UGACAUGGUGAAUAGAGGAGCGGACUCCAA